GUGGCAUUGCCAAAACAUGGCGCGUAUUAUCAAAGACACAUGAAACUAGAUUGUAACAAAAAAGUGAAAUUAGAAACAACCGCUUUUGACUUUUGAUGAUUCCACUAACUAUUUAUCACACUCGUGUGUUAAUUGUUUCAAUUUGAGUACGCAGGCAUAUAAGCAAAAUCGCAGGCACAUAAGCAAAAUCACGGUAGAAGCAAGCAGAAUCCACAGACAGAGAGGAAAAGAGAAGAGAGAUGUCGGCGGCGCAGGUGGAUCCGCAUGACAAGAUGAGGGCAAGGAAGGUUCAAGAAGAACAGGAAGAACAGGAAGGGGGAAACGCCAGAGGCAGCUGAAUCACCAGCUGCCACAAAUUACCAAACACGCCACUGUUAUGUCAAAUAUGUGGAGUAUCACAGAUGCAUUCAGCAGAAGGGCGAAAAAGCACCUGAAUGUGAGAAACUGGCCACCUAUUUUAGGUCCUCUUGUCCAACCGAAUGGAUUGCAGAAUGGGAUAGAGAAAGAGCAGAGGGAAGGUUCCCUGGAGAAAUAUAGGCUAUAUAGGAAAUCCCUUUUUUUAAAGUGCAACCCUAGUGCAUAGACUUCACAAUAAAAUAGUAGACACAUUUUGUUUACUGUAUACAUUGAAAUAUAUGAGAAUAAAGAAAAAGAAUAAAUGUGAUAUUGAUGUAAUGUGAGAAGAGGAAAGUGAUAAAGAACUGUAUAUGAGUGUUGUUACUAUUCGUGGUACCCUGGAA